UGCUUGUGCAUGCAUUAAUAUGGGUACAUGUUUGUGUAUACUUACAAGUGUGUGCAUGCAUAAAUGUGGAAACAAUAGUACAACCUCUUAUGCUGUUUCUCUGAUUUUGUCCAUUUUGAUUUUUUUAAAUUAAAAUCUCUCACUGGCCUGGAACUUGUCAAGUACACUAGGCUGGCUGGCCAAAAAGCCUUCAGGGAUCUAUUGGUUUCAGCCGCCCAAUGCUGAGAUUACAAGAAUGUGUCACCAUACCCAGAUAGUCCACAUGAACCCCAUGGGUCAAACCACGUCCUCCUGUUUGCUUCACACUUGCUAAAUGAUCUAUGUCCCCAGCUUUCCUUUCCAUCAGCUCUUAAUGUAUACUAGCUCCUACACCUCACAGUGAUCCAAAUUUUUGAACUUGAUUAAUAGAAUGACCCUGAACCAAGCAGAGCAGCCCGGGCAUGGUAUCUUCAUUCCAGCCCAAGAUGCUUCUUGGAUGCACACAGCAUCAAUCAUCCUCAAAUUGCUUCUCUGACUGUGUUGUUUGCAUAUAAUAUGUUUUCCAUGAAUUUUCUUCCUUUCUAGAGAAUAUUCUACUCCAGCCCCUGACUUAAAAGUAGUGAUCAAAUGAAUGCUCCAAGAAGAACCUCUCUCUGAGGAUGAGACUCAUUAUCACUCUAAAGCAGACUCUACUUUCAGAUAUAUGUAUGAUGGGUGAUUUUUAUUUGAGAUGAAAGCAUAUACCUAAUCAAGUAGCAUCAUGAGGGCACUCCUGCCUUUGGUAAGAAUCCACCCAGUGUAGCUGUAUUAAUCAGGGUUCUCUAGAAGAACAGAAAUGAUAGAAUGAAUAUAUAUUACAAAGGGGAUUUGUUAUAUUGUCCUGACUGUCCAACAAUGGCUAUAUUCAUACUUGAGAGGUAGAAAUCAUCUAUGAGGCUGGGAGUCUCAGCAAUCCAACUCUGAUGUGGAAGACCUGGAGGAUUCAUAGACAGCCAUUCAUUUUUAGUCCAUGUUAGAAGGUCAGCACAGCUGGGUUCUGAUGUCAUGGAAUGAUGGGGGUACCAGAAGCAGCAAUAUAAUUGAUGUACUCACCAGCAAGUAGUGAAGAGAGGUAGGAGAAAACAGUGGCUUUUUCCUCCAGCCUCUUAUGUCUUGUUACACCCACUCUGGGGUAGGAUCUUAUGUUCUGGGCUAGUCGUUUUAGUAAUUCUGUUAAGACCUGGAAGAGGUGUGUUUCUUAGUUGAUUGCAGAUCCAGUGUCAGGGCUUUUGUUGGCAAGGUCUUUUCUCUCCUUCAUGAUCCAACCAAUUUUCUUCUGCUUUUGUACUUUGAUUUCAUAGUGCUCCAAGACCAGGCUGUUCACCUCACAUGACAUAUGACUUGCUGAUUUUGUGUGUAUCCAUUUGUUCUUACCACUGUGGUUUCAUAGCAGUACACCUUGUGAUUUCAUGCUUUGGAGACUCUCAGUUGCUUCAGACAAUCUGACUAUAUGUACAUGAUAUGGCCUCUAUUUCUUCAUCUCAAACUCCAGGGAGAUGGUUGUAAGGCUUAUUCUGUAUAUUCUGAUAUAAUAUAGAGUAGCAAUGAAUGCUGUGUAGCAGACAUAGAGAAAGAAAAUGAGUUUUUCCAUUCAGCAAGCAAUGGAUCUAUCUAGCUACACCAUGUCCUAUUCUAGUUAGCCCCAGAUUUCUGUUUAACUCAUGACUCCAGGAGUGAGAACUCACCAUUGGCAAAGCACGACUCUUUUAGAAUUGGAGUAGAAGUUAUUUGCAGAUAAGCAAAGUCUCCAGGUGCUGGCAACAGUCCUGAACAGGUGCUGUCCUUAACAGGGGACAGGGGCUGUUUGGAAGCAGCUCUUCAUGCAGGAUGGUUUGCAUUUCUGACCAGCAUCUAACAUUGUUGUUGAAAACAUGCUAGAGACAGGUAUAUGUGGUAUGGGGGAUAUCAGGGGAGCAUGAAUCUGCUCAACAAGAGGCUAUUUCAUGACUGUGAUGCUCAUUAAGGGGGAGGGAAAGGAAGAGAUUGUUAACAAGAAGAGAAGGGGAAUGAAGUGAAGGAAAAGAGCCAGGAGAGAGUGGAAGAGAAAGGGAGGGGGCUUCUGCAGUUUCUGAGGCUCUUCUUUCAUAGCGAAGUAGGUAUUUUCCACCUUCAUGUGGAAAUUGUCUUUUUUCUUUUUUGUCCCAUGUAAGCUCCCAGUUUACCUUGUCCUUUUGUAUAUGUUCUAUUAAGCAGUUUUUUUGCUGCACCAAAUAUAUUUUAAUAUCCAAGCUUUUAGAAAAGAAAGGAGAAUAAAAAAAAAAAGACCAAAGAAAAGCUUUGGGGUUGCUAUAAAAAGAAUUUAAUUAGAUGACUAGCUAUAGGCUCUUCUUGCAUCUGUAUUUUGGGAAAGGGAGGCAUGAUUUUGUCCUUUGAGUUACAUAAAGUAUAUUUUUAUAUUAAGAACAUCUUGUAUCUACAGGUGAAUUAACAUACACAUUGAAAAUAGAUAAAUUUAGAGCUCUGAAAGACCUUGAGGAUAAGGGGACAUGGAGUGAUGGCUAAGUGGUUAAGAGUACUUAAUGCUGUUCCAGAGGACCCACAUUUAGUUCCCAGUACCCAGUGGCUUACGACCAAUUAUAACUCCAGCUCCAGGAUAGCUGAUGCCUGCUUGUGGCCACCAUGAAACUUCAACGUUGUGAGUGCAGCAUGGUGGUAUGUGCUUAGAAUCUUGGUGCUAUGGACAGAGACAGGUACAUCUCUAGGGUUCUCGGAUCAGCCAGUCUAGUAUACUUGACAAGUUCCAGGCCUGUGAAAGACAAUGUCUGAAAAAAUAAGGUGGGCAGCUCCUGAGGAACAACACCUAAGAUUGUCUUUUGUCUUCCACAUGUAGUUGCAUAUACAUGAACUACACACAGACACAGAGGGUAUGGGGAUGUGUGGAGGAAAGAGAAGAUGUUUGCCUGAAAUGAGAGAUGUGUGGAGGAAAGAGAAGAUGUUUGCCUGAAAUCCUAAUAUGAUUUCUAAUCUUAUCCAGGGUCAGCUUUAUUCCCCAACAUUCUGCAUCUGUAAUCUUUUGUGAUGACCAUAAGUGUGUUUUCAGAGCCUAUGUUUAUCAUAAAAGGAGAGAAUUUUAAUGUUGGAAAUGCCAUCAAGGUUCUAAAGCCUGGCCUUUGUGCUUACUCCAGUAUCUCUUUGUGUGUCUCCUGCAUCAGACACCUGGUGUUGCAGUAAGCCCAGAAGAGAAGACUGGGGUACUUUAGAAAGUUAGGCUACCUAUGGAAGACAUGACUCAUGAGUAGAGAUUUCAGCUGAAGGCAUACUAAAGCCAUUUUUAUGUAAACAGUUGCUCAUUUAGGCAGCAAAUAAAGGAAUCUGCUUUGAUAAAUCACCCAUAAACAAUAUAAACUGAAAAGUCUAAGUAAAAAUGGUCUGUGUCUAAAAGAUUAUUUGAGCCCAGCAAGGUGGCUUGGUGGGUAAAGGUAUUAAUUGCAAAGAAGGAAAACACAAGUUGGAUCCCCUGGGCUCCUCAUCAUAGACAGAAAGAACUAACUCCUACAGGUUGUCCUUUGACCUCCUCAUGCACACACACACUGUGCAAUAAAUAAUGUGAUUUUACAAUACUCUUUUAAAAUUUAAACCGUGUUUAGUUGUUCUUUGGAACCAGGCUAAUUUGUUGACUGGUAAAAGUUCAGAUUGAUGCAUGAAAUUCUUGAUUGCUAGUGUUGCUUCACUUCUGUGUGUGUGUGUGUGUGUGUGUGUGUGUGUGUGUGUGUGUGUGUGUGUGUAAAUAGGUAUGUAUGUCCACAUGUUCAUGUUCAUGUGGGUGCAUGUGUGUGAUUGCAUGUGGAGGCUAGAGGUUGACCUCAGUGUCUUACCUUAAGCUUAUUCAUCUUGUUUUGUGAGACAGGGUCUCUCACUAGCCUGAGUAUUUCAGUUGGGCUGGGUAACCAGAGAGCCCCAGAAUCUGCACAUCACUGCCUCCCCAUUACAAGGAUUACAAAUGCAUGGCAUUAUACCUAGCAUCUUCCCCAGGCUGUGGGCAUCAAACUUGAGUUCUUGAUUGUGUGAUGAACACUUUACCAAUUUGAACCCCACCCCACCCCCAGACCUCUCCUUUUCUUUUUCAGUUUUAGUCUUAAUCCACAGUCCUGCCUGGCCUCUACCAUUCUUUCUGGUGUUACUCUACUCUGUUUCCGGUUGGUCUCCUUCUUCAUGCUGGUGCUGUGCUGAUACACAGAUUCAAGCCAUUCUUUCCUGAAUAUUAAGCUCAGAAAAGUGUCUCAUUUACAAACAUCAAGUGGAUUGGAGCAAAAUUGUUGGGUGCCUUUAAAGUUCUGUUUUAUUGGUAUUUGGAUCUCGAAGAUGCUCAGCCUUUAGGUGGCAACUGAGGAGGGAGUAACUUAAACCAUCAGGACCGAUCUGCCACAGCUCUGCCAGGGCAAGAGCUCAAGGCAGGAACCUGGAAACAGGAACUGAAGCAGAGAACGUGAAGGGACUUGCUGCUUAUUCUCCAUGGCUUGCUCAGCCUGCUUUCCUAGACCUCCCAGGACCACCCACAGUAUGCUGAGGCCUCACACAUCAACCAUUAAGAAAAUGCCCCUACAGAUCUGCCUACUGGCCAAUCUGAUUGGAAGAAUUUGGUAAGUUUGAGGUUCUCCUUCCCCAAUUGAUCCUGGCUUGUGUCCUGUUGACAAAAACCUAACCAGUCCAAUGGAUUACUCAACAGAGUGAGGAUGGAACUUCUGAUCUUCCCACCUCGGACUCCUGGGUUCUGGGAUUAUAGGUACAACCACCACACCCAGUUUAUCCAGUGCUAUGGAUCGAAUGGAUUGAAGCCAGGGCUGUGCACAUGCUAAGCAAACAUUCUACCUACUGAGCUAUAGCCUCAACCUGGAGCUGAGUACUUUUCAAAUGGAUAAUUUGGUAAUUUAGUAAUUCUUCUUGGAGGUUUGCUCAACUCUGGCUGUGCAUUGUUUUGGGAGCUUCCUUCUUUCUCCAGCUCUGUUUCUUGUACAAGCAGCAUUCACACUACCUGAGAACUCAUUAGAAAUGCAGAAUUUCACGUCCCCCUCAGAUCCAUGAGCAAGGAGUUUUAGAAACACUUGCAUGUAGUUUAUGUGUAUAGGAUGGUUUAUCAUUUCUUUAGUUGACGUUGGAGCAAGCUCUUUACCUUCUGCUUUUUCCUCUGCCUCCAUCUAACUGGGAGACAAUACCCAAUGCUCUUGGCUUCCAGACUGUGCUCCUGGAUGCUCUCCAUCCAUAAACUAAAAGCCUUAAUCACACAGAAGGGACUCCCAUGAGGCCCGAACAAGUCUCUUUUUAUUAGUUUUUUAGGAAACAGGCUUUAACAUAAGACACUAUUUGAAGAAAAGAUUUGCCUAUGAAACAGAUUCAAGGCUCACUAUCACUGAAGACUUACAAAGUCACUCACAGGUCAAAUUUUUCUGUUAGUAUAACAACUCUCAUGGUUAGAAAAUUGUGUGUGUGUGUGUGUGUGUGUGUGUGUGUGUGUGUGCAUGUUUUCAGAUACAGUUCUGUGUAUGAGGGAUCCACAUACAUGUGUGUAAGAGGCUAGAGGACAACUUGGAUGUUGUCCCAUGGGUACUGUUCCCUUUUAAAAAAAAAGAUUUAUUUUUAUUUUAUGUGCACCUGGGGCCUUCAGAGCUCAGAAGAAGGCAUUGGAUUCUCUACAAUUGAAAUUAUAGAAGAUCAUGAACUCUCAUGAGGAUGCUGAAAAUCAAAUCUCAGUCCUUUGGAAGAGCAGCUAGUGCUCUGAACCACUGAGGGAAUCUCUCCAGGAUCUCUCACUGGCCACUUGCUUGUUGGUUUGUCAGAGAAGCCCAGGGAUCUACCUGUCUCCACCUCCGCAGCACUGGCUCAGUCACCCAGUGUAGCCAUUAUAUGGGAUCUGGAGACUGAACUCAAGUCCUUAUGCUUGCAUGGGAAAUGCUUUACUCACUAAGCUGUCUCCUCAGCCUCUGAACUUUUUUCUUUUAAUUAAGAGGAAAAUCUUUGUACACAUGCCAAGUUAAUACUAGUCAGGAACCAAGGUCAGCAGAGAAGGCAGCUUCCUCUGGUGGCUUCCAUGAACAGGGCCCAGAAGCUCUACCUGUCACUGGAUUGUCCAAAGGCUUCCUCAGUCUCAGUGGCAUACUAUAUCAUCCUCACACCAGCAGACAUGCUAAGAACAUUGCCCUAACACCCUAUAGGAGGAGUUGGAGUCAUUGACCUUUAUUCAAUCAUCUGUGUCAAUGCUGGUUUUGUGGCCUUUAGGCAUUUGUUGAUCACUGCUAUUUAAUUUGCAUGCAUAGAUCCAACAAGGAAAUUGGGAGGGGUGACAUUGAGUGCCAACUUCUUUUCCAGAGGAAAAGUUCCAGGGCUCAAGUUCACAUCAUUCUCAUCAGGCAGCUCACAGUUGCCUAUCACUCUAAUUCAAGGGAAUCUUCUGCCUUCUGCAGACACCUACCCUCACAUGCAAGUCAGUACACACACACACACACACACACACACACACACACACACACACACACCCUCAAAAGUAAUCAAACUGAAUCUUUCACAUCAAUAGCAUGUGAUUGCUUCGCAGGCCUGUAACAUAGAGCCAUCUUCUACCUUUUGUACUUUCCAUCUGCAUAGCUGCUUCAGCCUAUUACUUAUUUAUAUGUUUAUUGACUUUAGAUGACAUGUUUACUCCAAGGAUCUCAGGCAACGGAAGGAUUUGUUUUAGAAGUCUACAAAAUAGAUCCUUACUUGUUCACCUAUGGGACAUGCAGUCAUUUUGCAUUCUACUUUAUAUAUUGUGGUUGGGUUAUUAUAAAAAAUGUUCACAUCUUUAAAUCUUCCCAGGUGUCUAUACAUUUCCCUUGCAAGAUACAACUACCAAGCAAAAAGAAGAAAAAAAAAACUACUGAAAAGACAGACCAAUGUUCUUGUCUUAGAAAAAUCAAUCUCAUCAGUAGCUCAUGAAAUUCAAUUACCCUGGUCAGGAACAAAGCAGAUAAUCAUCACUUAAUAAUAUUUAUAGAUAAUAAAAAAAAUGCAGAGUAAAUAAAAUUAGCCUCUGAAACCAUGAACAAAUUUUUAAAAACUUUUUUGUUUAUCUCAGGAGGAUUUAUGAAAUCUGGUAAGUGUGUCUUUCUCCAUUUUUAUUUGAGCCCACAGACAUCAGAGGAACUCAGAAGGUAUUUGUUGGAUGAGUGCAGGUGAUAAAAUGGGAUAGUGACACAGUGACCUCUAAUUUGGACAUAACGAGUUCAUAGAGAUUACUUCCUAAAGGAAGUUGCUUAAAGGUAAAACUAUAUUGGCUGCAUGGAUGCUACUGUUUUGUCUGCAUAAACUACUGGAGAGUAGUAGCAGAUGUAUCAGGAGAUGACGGAGAUAAAUGCAGAUCUUCAUUAUGUAAGACAGAAAAAUGGAAUAGUUAAAAAAAUAAGCACCAUGGGGCUGGGAAAAUGGCUUAGUCAGUAAACUGUGUCUGAAUUAGACCUGAAUUUCUAUACCCAGAACCCACAUAAAAAGCAGGUGUGGGGAUGCACACUUGAAAUCCAGCACUAGAGAGGAGGAAUAAACAUUUCUAAUCUCAGCACUAGGAAUUGUCAUUCAAAUGACCACCUGUAACACCAUUGCUGGGCAGGGGGAUGCACACCUUGUCAUCUCACCAUAGAUAUGGAUCUAAAGCAUCUGGAGCAUGGAUCCAUCAGCCUAGACAUUUUUAUACUGUAUUAGUACUCAUAAAUGUAGGGCUUUUCUUUCUUCUUAUUUGCUUGUGAACAUGGAUGAUGAGUGUUUUAAUUCUUGAAUACUCAUUGGUUUCUAUAGUCUUUCCACAUAAUAAUAUCUUCACUUAAUCAUCUUGUAGAUGUUAGAAUUUGAGGAAGCUGUAAUGUGGAGAUGCUGUCAAUAGGUGGUUCUAUCUUGUGAAGCUAAGCAAAGUGCUUUAAUCUAAUGAACAUUCAA